UACGUAGGGUGCGAGCGUUGUCCGGAAUUAUUGGGCGUAAAGAGCUUGUAGGCGGUUUGUCGCGUCUGCUGUGAAAAUCCGGGGCUCAACUCCGGACUUGCAGUGGGUACGGGCAGACUAGAGUGUGGUAGGGGAGACUGGAAUUCCUGGUGUAGCGGUGAAAUGCGCAGAUAUCAGGAGGAACACCGAUGGCGAAGGCAGGUCUCUGGGCCACUACUGACGCUGAGAAGCGAAAGCGUGGGGAGCGAACAGG
rnacentral:rRNA from 1 species